rnacentral:rRNA from 1 species
GAUCAUGGCUCAGGAUGAACGCUAGCUACAGGCUUAACACAUGCAAGUCGAGGGGCAGCAUGGUCUUAGCUUGCUAAGGCCGAUGGCGACCGGUGCACGGGUGAGUAACACGUAUCCAACCUGCCGUCUACUCUUGGACAGCCUUCUGAAAGGAAGAUUAAUACAAGAUGGCGUCAUGAGUCCGCAUGUUCACAUGAUUAAAGGUAUUCCGGUAGACGAUGGGGA